UACGUAGGGUGCUAGCGUUGUCCGGAUUUAUUGGGCGUAAAGGGCUCGUAGGUGGCCUGUCGCGUCGGCUGUGAAAACUCGGGGCUCAACUCCGAGCUUGCAGUCGAUACGGGCAGGCUAGAGUUCGGCAGGGGAGAGUGGAAUUCCCGGUGUAGCGGUGAAAUGCGCAGAUAUCGGGAAGAACACCCGUGGCGAAGGCGGCUCUCUGGGACGGUACUGACGCUGAGGAGCGAAAGCGUGGGGAGCGAACAGG
rnacentral:rRNA from 1 species